rnacentral:rRNA from 1 species
UGACCUCGAAUCAGGUGGGAUUACCCGCUGAACUUAAGCAUAUCAAUAAGCGGAGGAAAAGAAACUAACAAGGAUUCCCCUAGUAACGGCGAGUGAAGCGGGAAGAGCUCAAAUUUAAAAUCUGACAAUCUUCGGUUGG